UACGGGGGGGGCAAGCGUUGUUCGGAAUUACUGGGCGUAAAGGGCUCGUAGGUGGCCAACUAAGUCAGACGUGAAAUCCCUCAGCUUAACUGGGGAACUGCGUCUGAUACUGGAUGGCUUGAGUUUGGGAGAGGGAUGCGGAAUUCCAGGUGUAGCGGUGAAAUGCGUAGAUAUCUGGAGGAACACCGGUGGCGAAGGCGGGAUCCUGGGCCAGUACUGACGCUGAGGAGCGAAAGCGUGGGGAGCAAACAGG
rnacentral:rRNA from 1 species